CACGCUCUCGCUUUCAGGCGACGGCGCGGACGUCCCGUUGUCAUCGAUCCAAGCUACAAGACAAAAUACUACUACUCAAGUCCAUGGAUCAAACUGCCAGGCGAUUAAUCUUGCGGGCCGUCGAGUGCUACGUUUGGGACGAUGGGACGGAAGGCGGGACGCGAUCCCAUUAAAUCGGGGACGAUCUACCGGGAUCGAUCAGUACAAAUCACAUUAGAUAGCCUAGAAUCAGGAUUGGAAAGCAAAAUCGGAAUGGAAAGAGAGCAAAUUAUGCAUGGAAAGAGCAGAAUUUUAGCCGCGUUGAGAGGAUCUUAGUUAGGCAUUACAGGGUAUAUAUACAUGGAGAGUGGGCAACGGUGUGCCAUAUCUACCGGGCUGUUACAACAGAAUACAAGGCCCUAUACAUCUGAAUACACGGCAAUACAGAACAGUCUACAAGUAUAUUUCAACAGCAACGUCCCCGCAUCAUGGGAUCAUGUUCCUGCCAUCGAACCGCAUCGACCCGGCUUCGUCCCCGACUCUUGAUUCGGGUCGACGAAUCGGAUUCACGGGACGCGGCACCGUUCCGCGUUCCCGGCUUCUAUGUGGAGGUGGCCAGGAUGCACGCCAGGCUGCUGGAGAUGGACCGUGGAAGGGGUUCUGAGGAUAUGGAGACGGGUGAAGGCUCUCCGGGAUGGUCAAGCAGAGGCUAUCUACUUCAUGGACGACGACGACCAAGAAAUCAUGUAGCCAUACCAUUAAUAUAAAGAUGUCUUCGCUAGGCAUCGCACUUCUUCUCUUGAUUCUUGAAUAGCGUUUCACUAUGAUGUUUAUUUCUCUUGUUUGAAACCAAACAACUAAGAUGUAACUUAACUUCCGAGUAAUCUUCUAGUGAUAUUGAGAUCAA